rnacentral:ncRNA from 1 species
AAUCUCUGGAGAAUCCCAUAGGCUUGCAGACAGGCAAAACCUGCAACAGAAUGGGUACCGAAGGUGCAAGAUUGUGUGACGGUGCUGUGCCGUAACCUUUCGAAUCUCUCAGGUAAAAAGACAGAGCU